rnacentral:tRNA from 3 species
GUGUCUUUAGUUCAAUUGGAUAGAAUAAUGGUCUCCUAAACCGUAGAUGACAGUCCGAUUCUGUCAGGACACA